AAGUCGUAACAAGGUUUCCGUAGGUGAACCUGCGGAAGGAUCAUUAAAAAAAGGAAAGAUAGAUAUAAUGUAUAAAACAGAGAGAUAGAUAGAGAGUAUGUGUAUAGUAUUUAUACUAUAUACAGUGAUAACACUAUUAUCACACACAAACAAAUACAUACAACUGCUACCAAUGGAUCACUUGGUUCUC
rnacentral:misc_RNA from 1 species